AUCGCUUCUCGGCCUUUUGGCUAAGAUCAUGUGUAGUAUCUGUUCUUUUCAGCUUAAUAUCUGAAACGCGACUCACCGAGUCGCUUGUAUAUUAAACUGAUUUUUGAAUCUAGACCAUGGAAUAGGGGCUUGCUCCAUCCUGGUCA
rnacentral:snRNA from 1 species